CUUUACACAUAUUCUAAUUUUAGAAAAGUAUGUUUUUCUAAAGUCUAAAACUUUUGUUUUCAGUCACUCAGUCACUGUUCUUUUAUUAAACCACACUAACUGAUGAUCACUGGAUCCUAAUCUUCCACCUACUGUAAUAUCUGAUACCAAAUCUCUAUUUGUUAACACUAAAUCUAGUAUGGCCUCUUUAUGAGUUGGCUCCUCAACAAC